rnacentral:rRNA from 1 species
UAUGUGAUCGUCUCUCGCAUAUCAAUAAGCGGAGGAAAAGAAACUAACAAGGAUUCCCUUAGUAACGGCGAGUGAAGCGGGAAGAGCUCAAAUUUGAAAUCUUCAAGGUUUUACCUUGACGAAUUGUAGUUUAAAGAAGUGUUUUCUGUUGAAGUUUUGGUAAAAGUUCUUUGGGAUAGGACAUCAUAGAGGGUGAGAAUCCCGUAUUUGACCAUUAUUUUCAGCUGUGUGAUACACUUUCAAAGAGUCGGAUUGUUUGGGAAUGCAGUCCAAAAUGGGUGGUAAAUUUCAUCUAAAGCUAAAUAUUGGCGAGAGACCGAUAGCGAACAAGUACCGUGAGGGAAAGAUGAAAAGAACUUUGAAAAGAGAGUUAAACAGUACGUGAAAUUGUCAAAAGGGAAGCGUUUGACACCAGUGUUGUUUUCUCGAAAAUCAAUUAAAAAGAGUUAGAUUUUGUUGUGUAUUGACCUUAACAGCUUGCAUUUCAAUUUUCUUGCUUUUUUUAAUGCACUUUUCGUUUAACAAGUCAACAUCAGUUUCUUUUGUUGUAAAAAGGUCAUUGGAAGGUGGCUUUCUUUUCGGAGAAGGGUGUUUAUAGCCUUUGACUCCUGCAAUCGGAGAGACUGAGGUCUGCAGCGUAGAUCCUUCGGGGUUAGAUACAUUUGUGCUAAGUUAUAGCUUUUUAUAGACAACUUGUUGACUAUGAUUAGUCUUGUAGCUUACUCGCUUAUGCUAUUUUACCUACGCUUAGGAUGUUGAAGAUGUAGCACAUCAU